UUUCAAAGCUAUGUCUACAAGUUUAAAUUCUUUAACCCUGUUCAAGGUGUAUACACACUCAAUAUUUAACUACAGUCCAGGUUUGCAAUUAACAAACUAUCUGAUAAACCUGUGUGUGAGUCAGAUAUGUCUGCUGCUAAUCUAUUGGUUAUAAAAUAUCACAGCCUUUUCUGAUUGGCUGAGUUCAAAUACAGAAAGUUUACCUGUUAGAUUGAAAUUCUGGCGUAUUGUGGAAAAUUUGCAGGUUAAUCUUGUUGUUAAAAUGAAGUUAAUGUAAUGUUCACAAACAGUAGAGUUAAUGAGUUUUUCCAUUAACAAGAAUUUCUUAAAAUAAUAAUGUAUGGAUAUCAUUUGGAAAGUGACAUGAAAUGUUGUUAAAAAGUGAUGCAUACAAGUGUUUCAGAAGUCUUUCUAGGAAUAGAACAAAAACUGAAGCUGACCAGUUGAUGGAAGAUACUGCAGAGUUUGGCAGGGAAAUAACCCAAGACAGCAAAGCGGCUCUUUUGGCGCAUUUACCAAGAGGACUAACAUGGCCACAAAUUCAUGAGAUCAUGCAGGAGCCGUACAGUAUAACAGCAGUACAAGUUCUAUAAAAGAUCCACGACCUACUGAAGCCCAGCUAAUUAACAAAAAAGUUUUUAAAAACUGUAAUUUUAUCCCACCUGGGUACUUAUAAUUUACUAAGCUGCCUUCACAAGUUUUAGACUUGCAAUUAUAUUUUAAACUGUCACUUGGAAAGUAAUACAUGUACAUGCAUUAUGCUCUGAAUUUCUUUGAACAAUAAAAUUAUAUAAAAGUAUUUUAAUGAAAUUGAGCACCUAAAUUGCAUUAAAGUGAAAGUAGCUGAGAAAAAUAGUAUCCUUGUGCUCAUGGACAGC